GACGAACGCUGGCGGCGUGCUUAACACAUGCAAGUCGAACGGAAAGGCCCUGCUUGCAGGGUACUCGAGUGGCGAACGGGUGAGUAACACGUGGGUGAUCUGCCCUGCACUUCGGGAUAAGCCUGGGAAACUGGGUCUAAUACCGGAUAGGAGCCAUUUUUAGUGUGGUGGGUGGAAAGUUUUUUCGGUGUAGGAUGAGCUCGCGGCCUAUCAGCUUGUUGGUGGGGUAAUGGCCUACCAAGGCGGCGACGGGUAGCCGGCCUGAGAGGGUGGACGGCCACAUUGGGACUGAGAUACGGCCCAGACUCCUACGGGAGGCAGCAGUGGGGAAUAUUGCACAAUGGGCGCAAGCCUGAUGCAGCGACGCCGCGUGGGGGAUGACGGCCUUCGGGUUGUAAACUCCUUUCGCUAGGGACGAAGCUUUUUGUGACGGUACCUAGAUAAGAAGCACCGGCUAACUACGUG
rnacentral:rRNA from 1 species